AACGAACGCUGGCGGCAUGCCUAACACAUGCAAGUCGAACGAGACCUUCGGGGCUAGUGGCGCACGGGUGCGUAACGCGUGGGAACCUGCCCUUAGGUUCGGAAUAACUCCCCGAAAGGGGUGCUAAUACCGGAUAAUGUCUUCGAACCAAAGAUUUAUCGCCUUUGGAUGGGCCCGCGUUGGAUUAGCUAGUUGGUAGGGUAAAAGCCUACCAAGGCGACGAUCCAUAGCUGGUCUGAGAGGAUGAUCAGCCACACUGGGACUGAGACACGGCCCAGACUCCUACGGGAGGCAGCAGUGGGGAAUAUUGGACAAUGGGCGAAAGCCUGAUCCAGCAAUGCCGCGUGAGUGAUGAAGGCCUUAGGGUUGUAAAGCUCUUUUACCCGGGAUGAUAAUGACAGUACCGGGAGAAUAAGCUCCGGCUAACUCCGUG
rnacentral:rRNA from 1 species